CAUCAGAGACUGGAAUUGCAGCGAAUACUUGCUGCUAAUCUUAUAGAAGCCUUGAUUUUUUAAAGCUGCUUGUGAAGGGAACAAGUUAAGAGAUUUAAUGAUAACACAGUGUUGCGACUGCCAGUUCUGUACUCCUAGAGUGCCUGCAAGAUAACCCAUGGGACAGUGGUAUACUUAGGAAUCUUGGAGAGGACAACAAAAAUUCCACCCCCAAACCAAUGCAUCAUUCUCCCCUGUGGAUUUCAGACAGGGGGAUUACUUUGGAUCACACAGCCCAUUCUCUCACAGCUACAAACAACCAAGGAAUAAGUAGCUGCUUAGUCCACACAUAUUCUGUGGACUUCAAACACUCUCAGACAUCCUGACAGACUCUGUUUUUUUGCCCUCUACAGUAAACUUCAACUCUAUAGCAGCUGUUAAAAGCCUUUUUUGUCACACAGGAAAAGCGCAAGAUAGUUCAAGCAUGCUGGUAACAUUCUAUGUAUCUUCAGUAGCAAAGAAAGGUAGACUCCUUACCCUGCUGGACCCUUACUGCUCAUGCUCAGCUCAAGGCACUGUCUCUUUUCCCUUCCUGUUCAUGCACAGGUGCAGGAGUCCCAGCAUUUAAAAGACAGAGAGGCAGGAAGCAGCCCUUGCUGACCUUCUGCUCUGGCCUGUUUCUACCUGGUCCUCUGCCAUCUCCUGGAUAGGAUUAGAUAUGGAUGCAGUUGGAAAAAAUUAUUUCAGUAAGUUAAUUUCUCAAAUAUUUCAUUUCUGGAGGGGUUUUGUGUUCUUGAUAUUUUGGGUAUUUUAUAAUUUUUUUUUUUUUUUUACUGUUUACUUCUCAUACCAUUCAUAAUCCUGUGCUCCACUUCUGUCCAAAAUGUUUUAGCUUUUUCUCACUUUCCUCUUCUUUAUUUUCUCUCAUCUGUUUUGUAGGAAGGAAGUAGGAAAGGGCAUAAGGGACGAGGAAAAGACAGCACAUCCACUAUAAUUCUCAAUGCAGGGAGAAAAAUAUUCUGCAAACAUUUUCAAUUUCUUUAUCGAAAGCAUUUCAACCAGCUCUAG
ensembl:lncRNA